rnacentral:pre_miRNA from 9 species
UCUCGAUAGCGUAAAAGUUAACUCAAAUUUGUAUGGAGUUGGAACGUUUGCCUACGUUUGGCGCUAGGGGCGCUGUUCCAACUGCAUACAAAUUAAACUUUUACGCUGUCGA